rnacentral:rRNA from 1 species
GACGAACGCUGGCGGCGUGCUUAACACAUGCAAGUCGAACGAAGUGGCGAACGGGUGAGUAACGCGUAAUCAACCUGCCCUUCAGAGGGGGACAACAGUUGGAAACGACUGCUAAUACCGCAUACUGAAGGAGGGGAUUGCGUCUGAUUAGCUAGUUGGGGGGGUAACGGCCCACCAAGGCGAUGAUCAGUAGCCGGUCGGGGAAGAUGGACGGCCCAAUUGGGACUGGAGCACGGGCCAGAAUCCUACGGGAGGCAGGAGUGGGGAAUCUUCCGCAAUGGACGAAAGUCUGACGGAGCAACGCCGCGUGAGUGAUGACAGCCUUCGGGUUGUAAAGCUCUGUUAAUCGGGACGCGGUACCGGAAUAGAAAGCCACGGCUAACUACGUGCCAGCAGCCGCGGUAAUUC